rnacentral:rRNA from 1 species
AAGAGACAGCAGUAGCCACGGUAAUACAGAGGGUGCGAGCGUUAAUCGGAUUUACUGGGCGUAAAGCGUGCGUAGGCGGCUUCUUAAGUCGGAUGUGAAAUCCCUGAGCUUAACUUAGGAAUUGCAUUCGAUACUGGGAAGCUAGAGUAUGGGAGAGGAUGGUAGAAUUCCAGGUGUAGCGGUGAAAUGCGUAGAGAUCUGGAGGAAUACCGGUGGCGAAGGCGGCCCCCUGGACAAAGACUGACGCUCAGGUGCGAAAGCGUGGGGAGCAAACAGGAUUAGAUACCCCUGUAGUCCCUGUCUCUUAUAC